UCAUUUAAGACAGUACUUGUGAUGGAUUGAGAACUGUUGACCAAAACAUGUCCAUAUAAAAUAAUAUGAUAAUGUAAUAAAAUCAUCUUCUUAAUAUUAAGUCAGCACCAGAAAGAACAAGAUGAAAAAUUUGAGGCUAUUUACAAUUAUUCUCCUCAUAGCAAACGCACAGAUUAUAUCUGCUCAGAGUAACUUCGUCCGAGGACUUGUUCUUGGCGGUGUUGGCGGUUUUCUCAUUAACAGAGCAAUUGGAAAUAACAGACGAGGACUCGGUGGAUUCGGCGGAGGACUUUUGGGAGGUGGACUCGGUGGAGGACUUUUGGGAGGUGGAUUCCGUCAACCGUUUCCACUUUUCAAUUCAGGUCGCCGUAAUGCCAGAGGAUUUUCGCCAUUUUUUUGAAUAAUGUUAUCUGAAGAUGUGCGUUAAGACAAUCCCAGAGUAGUCACACCAGUUUGAACUCUGUGGAAUGGAUGAUUACACCUUUGUUUCCAUCAGGAUGUUUUCUAGACUGUCACGUAAAGCAAGUUGAUAUGUUUUGCAUAAUAAAAAGACGAAGCAAUGACAAA